rnacentral:tRNA from 1 species
GGGAAUGUGGCUUAGUGGUAGAGUGCUUGCCUGGCAUGCAUGAAGCCUCGGUUUGAUUCCUCAGUACCA